AGAGUGAACGCUGGCGGUAGGCCUAACACAUGCAAGUCGAACGGCAGCACAGUAGGAGCUUGCUCUUACGGGUGGCGAGUGGCGGACGGGUGAGGAAUACAUCGGAAUCUACCUUUUGGUGGGGGAUAACGUAGGGAAACUUACGCUAAUACCGCAUACGCCCUUCGGGGGAAAGCCGGGACCAGCAAUGGCCUGGCGCUGAUAGAUGAGCCGAUGUCGGAUUAGCUAGUUGGUGAGGUAAUGGCUCACCAAGGCGACGAUCCGUAGCUGGUCUGGAGAGGAUGAUCAGCCACACGUGGAACUGAGACACGGUCCAGACU
rnacentral:rRNA from 1 species